AACCCGUAGAUCCGAACUUGUGGUGAUAGUCCGCACAAGCUUGUGUCUAUAGGUAUG
ensembl:miRNA